rnacentral:rRNA from 1 species
UACGAAGGGGGCUAGCGUUGCUCGGAAUCACUGGGCUUAAAGCGUGUGUAGGCGGAUCGUUAAGUACCUUGUGAAAUCCCACGGCUUAACCGUGGAAUUGCUGGGUAUACUGGCGGUCUUGAGCCACUUAGGGGCUACCGGAACAAAUGGUGGAGCGGUGAAAUGCGUAGAUAUCGAGAGGAACACCUGCGGCGAAGGCGGGUUGCUGGGCUGACACUGACGCUGAGGCGCGAAAGCCAGGGGAGCGAACGGG